CACCCCCCCACCCCAACCACCACCACCAAAGUCCCCAUCCUCAGGCCCCUGCCCUCAAGCCAGCCAAGUUCUUAGGCUGACUGGUUCAGACCAAACUCCUCUAUGAGGGUCUCUUUGUCAAAGGAGGUCAGUGUCCCAGCUGCUUUGGGAAUCAGUGGGGGAGACCUCCCCAACCCAGGUGCCCCAGGGGGUUUAAAUUUACAUGUGAAGAGAAAAACAGGCCAACAUUAAUGACUAUCCUGUGACUUGGGAUGCACCUUCUCUUCUCAGGUUCAAAGCAGUUUAAGGAAUCUAUCAUUUGGGAGUGCUUUCUCUCCCCGGCCUCCCUGGGAGGCAAGGAAGGGCCAUUCACAACUGAACAUUAAGGUCCUCAAAUUAAGAAACUAUCCAGACUCACAAAAGAUGUUUCCACCCAACCAGAAACAGUGGCCCCCUGACUCCUAGUUGAGUGUACACUUCCAACCAGGCCCCUUAAUUUGUCUCCCACCUAAAUGGCAGCUCUGAAGCUUCUGGGCUUCCAGCCUCCCCGUUGCGUUGAACCCAUGCUCCUUAGAGACCAAGUGCUAAUGGCUCCCCUGUUGAUGCUAUGGAAGUCAUGGAGUGAUGGAAUUGAUACAGGUUGCCAUGAGUCAGAGGUCAGGUGUCCUAGGGUAAGGGGAGUCCCUGAAGCAAAGUACCCUCUGUGGCUGGUGCUCCCUGCAGGGAAAUCUAGGAGCAUAUUUCUGAAGACAGUGACAUUCCCCACUGGGGAAAAAAAAAUGAACGCUUGGGAAGAAGUGUGGGACCAUUCCCAUGAAAACCUAUAUGGGGAAGUAUAGGACAUCUCAUCCUACUCCAGCACUGCUUAAAGUUAAGAUGAAAGAGAGAGAUUGGGGGAUUCAAUUCCUUUGGGAAUGGGUAUCCUGGGUGACUGUCCUCAUGUGCUGAUGGGCCAGGUCAUUUGGGGACAGCUCAUAGUCCUCAGGCAGACCACAAUGUCCUUGGGGGUUAACAGGAGAGGUCAAAUGGAUCAAGAGCCUGUGCUGCAAACAGACAUUGGGAGGUUGGUGCUGUGCCCACCAGGGUAGGCAGCAGGCAGGCGUCAUGGGGCAGCCAAUCAGAGGAGGAGGGGACUGCAGAGGAACCAAGUGAUCCUGCUGCAGCUGAGCUGUCCUUGGAGGGUGGGAGCCAAGGGAAGGGGAGGAGAAGAGGGGUGGGGAAGGACAUUCCACAGGCUUUUUUGGCCCCUGCCAGAGACAGAAGGAGGUCAAAGAGAAAGGGAAAGGAGCAAGCCAGGAAGCCAGACAACAAGAGCAUCAAAACAAGACUGUUUCUGUGUGUGAGGAACUUUGCCUGGGAGAUAAAAUUAGACCUAGAGCUUGCUGACAGGGAGUCUGAAGCGUGGGACAUGGACCGUUCACUGGGAUGGCAAGGGAAUUCUGUCCCUGAGGACAGGACUGAAGCUGGGAUCAAGCGUUUCCUGGAGGACACCACGGAUGAUGGAGAACUGAGCAAGUUCGUGAAGGAUUUCUCAGGAAAUGAGAGCUGCCACCCACCAGAGGCUAAGACCUGGGCAUCCAGGCCCCAAGUCCCGGAGCCAAGGCCCCAGGCCCCAGACCUCUAUGAUGAUGACCUGGAGUUCAGACCCCCUUCGUGGCCCCAGUCCGCUGACAACCAGCAGUACUUCUGUGCCCCAGCCCCUCUCAGCCCAUCCGCCAGGCCCCGCAGCCCAUGGGGCAAGCUUGAUCCCUAUGAUUCCUCUGAGGAUGACAAGGAGUAUGUGGGCUUUGCAACCCUCCCCAACCAAGUCCACCGAAAGUCUGUGAAGAAAGGCUUUGACUUUACCCUCAUGGUGGCAGGAGAGUCUGGCCUGGGCAAAUCCACACUUGUCAAUAGCCUCUUCCUCACUGAUCUGUACCGGGACCGGAAACUCCUUGGUGCUGAAGAGCGGAUCAUGCAAACCGUGGAGAUCACUAAGCAUGCAGUGGACAUAGAAGAGAAGGGUGUGAGGCUGCGGCUCACCAUUGUGGACACACCAGGUUUUGGGGAUGCAGUCAACAACACAGAGUGCUGGAAGCCUGUGGCAGAAUACAUUGAUCAGCAGUUUGAGCAGUAUUUCCGAGAUGAGAGUGGCCUGAACCGAAAGAACAUCCAAGACAACAGGGUGCACUGCUGCCUGUACUUCAUCUCACCCUUCGGCCACGGGCUCCGGCCAUUGGAUGUUGAAUUCAUGAAGGCCCUGCAUCAGCGGGUCAACAUCGUGCCUAUCCUGGCUAAGGCAGACACACUGACACCUCCAGAAGUGGACCGAAAGAAACGCAAAAUCCGGGAGGAGAUUGAGCAUUUUGGAAUCAAGAUCUAUCAGUUCCCAGACUGUGACUCUGACGAAGAUGAGGACUUCAAAUUGCAGGACCAAGCCCUAAAGGAAAGCAUCCCAUUUGCAGUAAUUGGCAGCAACACUGUAGUAGAGGCCAGAGGGCGGCGAGUUCGGGGUCGACUCUACCCCUGGGGCAUCGUGGAAGUGGAAAACCCAGGGCACUGCGACUUUGUGAAGCUGAGGACAAUGCUGGUACGUACCCACAUGCAGGACCUGAAGGAUGUGACGCGGGAGACACACUAUGAGAACUACCGGGCACAGUGCAUCCAGAGCAUGACCCGCCUGGUGGUAAAGGAACGCAAUCGCAAGUAUGACCAGAAGCCAGGACAAAGCUGGCAGGGGGAGAUCCCAAGCCUAGCCUUGGGUGAGACCAAGCCCUACUUUUGUUCUUCUAUAGGCCCUGGGCUUAAUCUAAGUGGGUGCUGGAGUCCUCCUAGCCUUAUCAACCCUUUUCUCCCCUUAGCAAACUAACUCGAGAGAGUGGUACCGACUUCCCCAUCCCUGCUGUCCCACCAGGGACAGAUCCAGAAACUGAGAAGCUUAUCCGAGAGAAAGAUGAGGAGCUGCGGCGGAUGCAGGAGAUGCUACACAAAAUACAAAAACAGAUGAAGGAGACCUAUUAACUGGCUUUCAGCCCUGGAUAUUUAAAUCUCCUCCUGUUCUUCCUGUCCAUGCCGGCCCCUCCCAGCACCAGCUCUGCUCAGGCCCCUUCAGCUACUGCCACUUCGCCUUACAUCCCUGCUGACUGCCCAGAGACUCAGAGGAAAUAAAGUUUAAUAAAUCUGUAGGUGGC